UACGUAGGCAGCAAGCGUUGUUCGGAGUUACUGGGCGUAAAGGGUGCGUAGGCGGUCCUGUAAGUAUGGUGUGAAAUCUCCCGGCUUAACUGGGAGGGUGCGCUAUAGACUGCGGGACUAGAGGGUGGGAGAGGAAAGUGGAAUUCCUGGUGUAGCGGUGAAAUGCGUAGAUAUCAGGAAGAACACCCGUGGCUAAGGCGGCUCUCUAGUACGGUACUGACGCUGAGACGCGAAAGCGUGGGGAGCGAACAGG
rnacentral:rRNA from 1 species